AAAAAGCAGAAUCAGAAGAAAUAGGAGAAGAAGAGGUAAAAGAAGAGUUAGAAGAAGAGGCGAGGAACAAGAACAAGAAGAACAAGAACACGAAAAACAAGAACAAGACGAACAAGAAGAAGAACAAAAGCAAAAAGAUCUAGAACAAGAAGAAUAAGAACAGGAAGAACAAGAACAAGACAAACAAGAAGAACAAGAACAUUAAGACGAAUAAUUAAGAAGAAGAACAAAGGCAAAAAGAACAAGAACAAGAAUAACAAGAAAACAAGAACAAGACGAACAAGAAGAAGAACAAAAGCAAGAAAGAACAAGAACAAGAGAACAAUAAAACACAAAAAACGUUAAGCCAGCAAAAACGACAACAACAACCCAGACCGAGACCAAGACAAACAUGGCUUGUCGGGGUCGUAUAAAGUCUUACAAAAAUUAGCAAAAACACGGAAAUUACGACACCCACGAAGCAGCCAUUGCCACCACAUAAGAAUAGAUAGAAGAAGGAAAGGACGAAGAGGAGAUAAACCGUCGUAGAAGCCCCAUAACUGCCGUAGAGGAGGAGUAAACACCCGUCUUCAUCAUGGCUAACAGGACGGUGAAGGACGCCAAUUCUAUCCAUGGCACGAAUCCUCAGUAUUUAGUGGAGAAGAUCAUCAGGACGAGGAUUUAUGACUCUCGGUACUGGAAGGAGGAAUGCUUCGCCCUCUCAGCGGAACUCCUGGUGGACAAGGCUAUGGCACUGCGAACCAUUGGUGGAGUGUACGGUGGCAACAUCAAACCCACACCCUUCCUCUGUUUGGUUCUCAAGAUGCUCCAGAUCCAGCCAGAGAAAGACAUCAUCAUUGAAUUCAUCAAGCAGGAUGAAUUCAAAUACGUCCGUGCCUUGGGAGCAUUUUACCUGCGGCUGGUGUACGGCUCCCUGGACUGCUUCAAGUACCUGGAACCUUUACUUAAUGACUACAGAAAACUGCGCUUCAUGGAUCGCUCCGGCGUGUAUCAGCUCUCCCACAUGGAUGAAUUUAUCGACAACCUCCUUAGGGAAGAACGCUUUUGUGACAUAAUUUUACCCAGAGUCCAGAAAAGGUGGGUGCACGAGGCAAACAAUGAACUUGACGGCCGAGUUUCCCUCCUUGACGAUGACUUGGAUGACCUUGAGAGUGAGAGUGAUGAAGAGGAGAUGCUUCCACCACCAAGACCCAGAAAUGACGUUCCUGAUCCCACCCGCCCGGUCCCUCGAGAUGAGAGACAUGGGAGAGGCCAUUCCCCUUCAAGACGUUCACCUCAGAGGGACAUGAGAAAUGAGAGAGAAAGAGAGAAGAGACACCGCAGCAGAAGUCGCUCCAGGGAGAGAGAGCGGGGAAUGGACAGGGAGAGGGGAAUGGAUAGGGAUAGAGGGAUGGAGAGGGACAGAAUGGAUCAUGGAAGGGGGAUGGAUAGGGAGAGAAUGGAAUAUGGAAGAGGAAUGGAGAGGGACAGAAUGGACCAUGGUAGGGGGAUGGAAAGAGACAGAAUGGAUCAUGGUAGAGGAAUGGAGAGAGAGAGAAUGGAAUAUGGGAGAGGGAUGGAGAGGGACCGAAUGGACCAUGGCAGGGGUAUGGAUAGGGAUCGAGGGAUGGAUAGGGACCGAGGCAACGAGAGGGAGAGAGGCAUGGACAGGGACAGGGGCAUGGAGCGGGAGAGAAAGAGACACAGAAGCAGGUCAAGGGAGAGACGGCAUCGGUCGAGGUCAAGGUCGCCAGGCCACCACCCACACCACCACCGGGAGCGUGGACGCGACCACCGCCACCCUGAGCGACCAGAAAGAGAGCACGGAAAGGAACGAAACAGAGAGCGGGAGCGUGACCGGGAGCGAGGAGACCGUAGAGAGAAACAUCACCGCAGCGGCCGCAGCAAACGUGAAAAUAUGAGUAGAGAUGAUCUGGAGAUAGCAGAAGCCAAUGCCAUCAGAGCCAAGCUGGGCAUGCCACCCCUCCAACCAUAAAGAGGAUGCUGACCCCUUGGUGUCCUGGGAUUACAACUCUCGCCCUCCAAACAAAGGACAGGUUGUGGAGGUAAAGGCUAUUGUAUGCCCAGGACUGGUGGAUGGUGGGUUUGAUUCAACUCGGUGUUCUCUCAGGUUGGUGUGAAUGGAAUACACUCCCUGAAGGGGAAUAGCAGCAGCAGCAACACAUACUGUUUGAGCUUGUUGUUGAGCAUGUAUGUUUUGAAGAGUAAACCUUUAAUGACAAA